UUCCGCGAUAACGGGAUCCAAAACAAGCCAAUGUGACUAGACAGGACUUGCAUACAUUUCUGUCCAAUGUCUUUGAAAAUGCCGUGCCAGCCAAUAGAACAUUGUUUAUGAAAAUGAGUACUUCCACGGGAUUUCAGCUUGGUUCUUAUGGCUAUAGCAAAAUAAAAAGGUCCAUAACGAAAGAAGACAAACAUCUACUCUCAGUUGUUUUUCAUGAGGCAGAUGAUAGGAACAAAGGUUUCCUGACAAGAGAGGAUGUCAAGGUGGCAAUAGCUGAAUUGUUUGGGUAUAAACCCUCAAAGUAUGAAGUGGACCAGAUCAUGAACAAUUAUGGAACCAGGUUCAACAGUGUUAUUGGACUUUCUCUGGAAAAUUAUAUGAUCAUCAUGUCAGAUAAAUUGGUUGCAGCAGAUGAAGAUGAAAAUACAAGACAUACGUUUAUGGUAUUUGACACAAACUGUAGAGGAUUUUUAUCUGUUGAGGAUUUGCAGAGAGCUUUUAGUCAAGUGGCCCCACACAUCCCUAACCACACUGUGCAAACCUGUUUCAGGUAUGGGGGACUACACUUUUAGAUGCAACACCAGCACUUCAAAAUGUGAAGGAAAAAAAUUACCUUUUAUUCAAUAGAGUUGGAUCGAGAUGGUGAUGGACGAAUAAGUUACAAAGACUUUGAUUUUAUGAUGAAAUACGACACAAAAUCUCACAUAUAAAUAUAUAUUUAUAUUUCCAA